rnacentral:tRNA from 1 species
CAGAAUAAAGCUCAGUUGGUAGAGCAUGAGACUCUUAAUCUCAGGGUUGUGAGGUCAAGCCCUGCUUUGG